rnacentral:rRNA from 1 species
AUUGAACGCUGGCGGCAGGCCUAACACAUGCAAGUCGAACGGUAACAGGAAACAGCUUGCUGUUUCGCUGACGAGUGGCGGACGGGUGAGUAAUGUCUGGGAGACUGCCUGAUGGAGGGGGAUAACUACUGGAAACGGUAGCUAAUACCGCAUAACGUCGCAAGACCAAAGAGGGGGACCUUCGGGCCUCUUGCCAUCGGAUGUGCCCAGAUGGGAUUAGCUUGUUGGUGGGGUAACGGCUCACCAAGGCGACGAUCCCUAGCUGGUCUGAGAGCAUGACCAGCCACACUGGAACUGAGGCACGGUCCAGACUCCUACGGGAGGCAGCAGUGGGGAAUAUUGCACAAUGGGCGCAAGCCUGAUGCAGCCAUGCCGCGUGUAUGAAGAAGGCCUUCGGGUUGUAAAGUACUUUCAGCGGGGAGGAAGGGAGUAAAGUUAAUACCUUUACUCAUUGACGUUACCCGCAGAAGAAGCACCGGCUAACUCCGUGCCAGCCGCCGCGGUAAUAC